UGGUUCUAUGAUCUGAAAUGUCCCCCUUUUUUUGGUGAAACCCAAGAGAACCCACUGACCAAGUUACGGGGCAGCUGGAGAACUUCUUCAUGUUUCUGUAUCCCAGAGAAGGGUUUUCCAUCCAUCCAUCUCCCCACCUGUCCUAACAACCCCCUCGUUAUCCCCCACAGCUGAGCUGAUGAAGUGCUGCACCUCUUUCCCAUCACAUCUUCCACACAUCCAGAUCUCCCCCUGCACCCCAGGCGUGAGAGGAGCAGGUCAGCUGGGAUCUGCUCUUCAUCCUAGCAUAACACAGUGGCAAGAUCCUCACGUCUGGCAAACUUACACCGUUUGGAAAGUGGCAUCUGUGGAGAAAGAAAUACCUGAACAAAACACAUUUCCAGCUGAUGUCUCCCCUGCACAUUUUGUGUCCUAGCAGGUGAAAAAUGCCUGAUCUGUACCAGCAGCACAUACCAGCUGAGAAAUGAGAAGAGCUCCUUUAAGCCUCCAGUGUCAGCCCAUCUUCCCUGCCAAGCUCUGAACUGCUCCACCUUCAAACCCUGCUAUGUCACUACUUCCCAUGUAAGAUUUUUUUUUGGUUUGUUUCCUUCCUAGUGAAAUUUAAAAUAAACUCUGAAACUUUUA